AUGGGUUGCUGCAGGAGGUUCCAGGAUACUAGCUUGCAACUAGAAAACAACUCAGAUCUUCACCCUCCUAACUGCUCCUCCUGCAAGUCCCUAUCAGGGUUCCAGUUAUUAGCUGGCAAGGUGUGCAAGCAUGCAUGGAUUCUGAGUCAUAGCUUUCCUGGAAUGCCUGCAGCAAUUUUCUCCGAAUCCAAUCUAAGUCACCUCCAUUAGUUUAAAGUGAACAGUCCAGAACUGUAUCCGGGGUCUUGAAAAUUCCAGACUGAACUGUGUCUAUGAAAAAGAUGCGGCUGUCAGACGCUGCAAUUAUGCCAUCUAGGAAGAAGUUGGCCCACAGGUGCAGUAUGAGGGCAUCUUUCCACCAUUUCUUGCUAUGAUCUCUGCUCAGAGCUUGUCCCUCAAAUACAACAACCUAUCCCUUUGAUGUCCUAAUAAAGAUUUUUUUUUUAAUAAUCCCUUUGGGGGA
rnacentral:lncRNA from 1 species